UCUAGAAAGAAGAAAAAAUUAUCAUGGGAAGCCCAUUUUAUAAAGCCCAAUCCAUCUUUCAAACCCUAAAUAACUAUUGUUGAAAAGCAAGUUGAAAAACAAAUCACAAGCAGCUAGCUAGCAGCCGCCUCCCCUAGAUCUCUUCAUCUUCAAACUCCUUUCACGUAUCUUUUUCUUCUGCAUAUUUCUUUUUGUUUCUUCCUUCCUUUGUUCUCUUGCAUAUGGAUUUUAAGAAAACAUAAACAUCAAAAUGAAUUCCACUUCUUUUUCUUUCUCCCAAUCUUAGUAUUAGUUCUGCAAUUUUAUUUCUAAUUCAAUUUAGAUCUUAUAAUUUCAACAUAAAAUUUUCAAGUUCAACAAAAUGGAUAUUUCACCUUCUUAAUCUACAUAGAUUCUUGAUACAUAGUUGAAAAUGAACCAGAAAACUAAUAGGUUUUAACUUCUUUUAUUUCCAAGACAAGACAAGACAAGAUAAAAAAAAUUUAAAAAAAAAAACAAAAAACGCUCAGACCGGAAAACCUGUGUGAACCGCCGGUUUUCCGGUUCUUUCCGGUUUAAGAGCGGUUUCCCCGUUUUUUGUCCGGUUUAAUGAACUAGCGGUUUUGAGAGUCAACCGGAUCGGACAUAGGUCCGGUUCACGGUUGAACCGGUCGAACUGCCCGGUCCGGUCCGGUUUUGACAACCAUUUGAAAGUUAAUGGAAUAGUAUAGCUUGCAAGUAAAUGGAAUAGUAUAGCUUGCAAGUUUAGCUUUUCUUCCAAACAUUAUACACUGCUCCACGGCUCCCUCCCUGUAUCACACUUUAUUAUUAAAGGAAAAAUAAAUAAAUGAGAAGCAACAUUAUCUUAUGUCACAAUCCCACCUUACAAUUUUGUCAUCUUUCUUACUUAAACCCUAAUUUUUUGGCAUAAAUAAGAGUAAAGUUUCACAGCAAAGAGGAGGUUGAAAAGAGGCAGAACCGAAAGUCACAAGAGCAAAACAGAGCAACAAAAUGUAGAGAGAAGAGAUCAAACACCUCGCCACCUCCAUAUUUCACCCAUAACCUCUACAAAUCACCACCACCAUUUUCUAUCAAUAAAAAUCACCAUAACCUAUAACUAAAAAACCAGCAAAUGAAAACCAAAUAAACUGAUCAGAGAUGAAGAGAAGAGGAUAGACACAGCCACCGCCGUUUCUGGACUACCACCGCACAUCACCACCAUCUCCGGCCGGAACUUCCACCGUCGCAGCCCCACACCACUUCAACUCAACGGCCAGUCUUCUCUCUCUUACUCUUUCUCUGUAUCUCUAUCUUUAUUGGUUUAUCCUGAUUGAGAAACAACGUAACGCCUUGUUACUGGUUGCCGGUUGGUCAUAGCAGAAGAAACUCUAGGUCUACUUUCUUACUUUUAUGUAUUUUUAUUUAAUUUUAAUAUCUUUUUUCAUUGUUUUAACCUUGCAAUUUGGGCUCAGCCCACAUGUAUAAAAAUUAGGUUUAUAGGUUUACUGCACCUUCCAAACAAAAAGAGAAAAAUCAAUUAAAAUAAAAAAACAAAAAAUAUAAAUUCAAAGUAACUUUUUUUUUUAGGCUUAAUCGGUUGGACAUCUCUUUAGUUUUUUAAAGAGAAAUUGGUGAGAGAGAAAUUGAAGAGAAAUGUCUAUUUUCUCUUAAUUGGUUUGGUGAGAAAUAGGAAAGAGAGAAUAAAUUUAUGUGAGCCCAAUUACUUUUUAUGGUCUCUCCAAGAAUGAGAAGAAAAGGAGAAGAGAAGCCAAUUUUUACUCAAUUCCAUUAUUACCCUUGCAUCUUCUUCCCUUAUCUAGUUUGUCGCUGGGUUUUGUUUUUCUUUUAACAGGAGUGCUUUGCUCCAUUUCCAUUUUCAUUACUCUUGCAUCUUCUUCCCCUAUCCUAUAUAUGCCUUUUUUUGGUGUUGUUUUAUUGCAUUUCUAUAACAAAUUCCUUUCGAUUCUACCGACAAUGAUCAUGAUCAAAAUACAAUUUCCGAUGUUUUUAUUUUAUUUCUUUGGCCAUUUAUCUUUUUUUUUUUUACGGUUGAUAAAAAAAUUAAUUUUAUAUUGGCUGUCUAUUUCAAAGAUAAAUGUAAUUUAUAAACCAAUCAAAACUAAUUAAUUAAUUAAUUAAUUAAAUGAUGAAUUGAAUAAAAAAAUUAAAUUAAUUUUGGUUAAGGUGCUUUUAAUUCAAUGGCAUUUUUGUACUUUCAAAAACAAUCAACACUUCUCUCUUCUCAAUUUCUCUCAUUUUUCUCUUAUACUAAUCAAUACACUAAAUCUACUCUAAUUCUCACCUCUUUCUCUCUUCUCUUACUCUCUCUCUCACCUAUUUCUCUCUUCUCACUUUCUCUCGACAACUAAACAUACCAUUAAUGUGAGAGAUGAGAGGGUUGAAUCACAACCCUUGGAUCAAAUCAAAUGCCAACAAUUUUUUACAGCUGCUCACACACAAUUAGUCUCACAUCGUGUCUUUCUCUCUCUCGGUUACUCAAAAAUGACUUCUCCACUUCUUACCAUUGAUGCAUCAUCUGUGUUCUUUCUUCUUAAAAAAAAAUCAUGACUUUUAAAUUGAAAAAUGAAACAACUUAAAUUGAAUGGAAAGAUGCAUCAACUUCCUCAUCUUCUUCCCGUGUUCUGUUUUCAAACACCAACAAUCACCACAUCUUCAGUUGCGACUUUGUACUGACAAACCCAUAAAUUGCUUAAUAGGAAGUAGCAAAUUUUUUUUAAGCUUAAUAAGAGGACACAAAGUAGAUCAUCUAAUUUACCAAUAUCACUUAAAAAUUGAAAAACGCAUAAAUUCCCAUCUUUUCCCUUUAUGAUUGACUCAAACUGCGUAGUACCAAAUUUGAAAGAAACAAAUUGUUCACCAUAAAAUUGGUCCAAUUUCAUAGAAUUUCCUUAGAAUAUUCUAAUUAUUUUCUAUGUACCAAUUCUCAUUGGGAAUAAAAGUGAAAUUGUAGAGAGAGUGACGGAUUCUCACUUCUCAUGCCUAUAAUCUUCCAACAGAAAGUUAAACUAUUUCACAAUGAAUCUUCUCACUUCUCAUGCCUAUAAUCAACCACUACAUCCAGGCAUACAAAUUAUUUAAUCUCGUGGCUGACAUUUAACCCUCUCACUAUCUCAUUUUAAAAUUCAUCUUAUUUGAAAGUCUCCCUCAGUGAGGUCUAAGUUAGCAAGGUGCACCUUUUUCCUUUGAACAUAAAUAUCCUUCUUUCACAAUUUUAAUUAAAUUUAAAAUGAAGGGUAAUUUGAUAGUUUUACAAAAAAAACACAAAACCCUUUCAUCAUUCCUUAAAAUUCUCAACCAAUUAUUUUCCGAUCACUAUCAUCUUCAUCUUCUUACCGUGGCCAUUGUUGCAAUCUAAACAAUACUCCAUGUUACACUAAUUUCUAGCUGCGUCAGCGUGAAUCCAACACGUAUUCUCAACCAAUUAUUGAAUAUAAAACCCAUAAGCAACUAAAUAAAUAAAAAAUCAAGAGGAGAACAAAGAAGAUGACAAAACAAAGCGAUAAAAAAAUCUGCAAUUACAAUUAUUCUACAAAUAAAGAACAAAGAAUAUGAUAGCUUUGAUUGCAAUUGCAGAGGAGAACAAAUAAGAUAAAACAAAUCUAGCACAAUUGAAGAAGAAAACAUAACAAAGAAGAUGAUAAAACAAAUCUUUCAUGAGAAAUUAGGGAGAGGUUUAGCACAAUGAUGAAGAUGAUAGCUUUGAUUGCAAUUGCAGAGGAGAACAAAGAAGAUGAUAGGUUCGAUUGGGUUGCAGCGGAGGAAGAUGAAGAGGAAAACAGAAGACAAAGCGAAUCCNNN
rnacentral:lncRNA from 1 species